GUCAUGUCUCAGAUGCGACCAAGACUGAACGCACGGACUUCUCCAGAGCGCCGAGGUGCUGCAGUGUGUGUGUGUGUGUGUGUGUGUGUGUGUGUGUGAAACUGGAUAUUUAAGAGCUCGGAUCGGCGGUGACAGUGGACACACACACACACACACACACACACACACACACACACACACUGCGAGGGACGUUGAGGACUUGAACGCGGCAUGAAGCAGGCGGAGGGAAUGAGCGCUCGCCCUCGUGCAGCGCGUGCAGUGAUGCGCGUCUAUAAACGUGACUGAGCAGCUCAUGAAGCAGAGGCGGUAUGUGGGAAUCAUCAGAGCUGUUUCAGAUAGCGGUGAAGCUGAAAGAGCAUCUCGGAGCAGUAGCCCAUCUCAACCAUCCAGCGGUUCACACAAACAUGAAAACACACAGGCAGCGCGCGCUUCAAGAGGAGCAACUCCAAGUUCAGUUCAGGUAAAAGAUACAUACUAAACCCUUCAACGUGUCCCAUUGAAGGUACCUCACCCCAGCUACAAGGUAAAGUAUGCUUUAAUACCUUGUUUUGAGAGUGUAUGUGCAGAUUACUGAGUAGAUUUUCACUACCUACUGUUAGUCUUCAUUCUUCAGCUUUUAACAUGGUGUGAAUAGAAGCAUGUUGCAAGUUAAAGGAAUAUUUUCUAGGCUAAUUUUCUCUCCUUUUUCCCUUUAAAAGUGAAAACACAUAUCAUAGCCUCUCCCAUCCUCUCCUCCUUUAUUUAGCUACCUACAGUCAAAAAGGAUCAAUCUAACACCCUAACAUUUUUUCUAACUUGUCUCUCUGAUAGAACCCUUAAAGGUUCUAUGUAGAACUGAAUAAGCAGGUUUUCCUUUAAGAGAGUAUCAAGUAGAACCUCUCGAGACAGCUAGAACCAUUAACAAUCCAAAGAGGAACUUUUUCGUUUUUUUCUCUAAUAGCGUGCUGUGAAAGUAGGCCUUUGCUGUCUAAUGCUUUGCACAUUGACAUUCUCUUUAAUUUCCUGCAGUGCGUUUUCCCCACAGGGUCGCAGUUCAAAACGCUUUCUGUUCAGUUCAGUUUUUAACAGAAGAUUUUAAGUGUCAGUGUGUUGGCAGUCCUUUAGAGUCCGAGCCUUCCGUUAGCCCAAAACAGUAUUUCUCCAUCGGGACUUGAUAAGAACCCUAUAACAAACAUUCUAAACCAAUCUGUGAAAAAUGUGCCACUCAGUCCUGACAUGUUACAGAGACUGAUGAAGAAGUCAAGGAGUGCGGCAGUUCCUGCGGCAGAAUGUGGAAAGUGCAGAUUUUAUCUAGUCCACUCGAUUUUCCUCAGCGUAUGACGAAACGGGUCAGAGGUUCUUAACUGCAGUAUUGCAGAGUUCCCUACCCUCAACACACCUAACCCACUUUUAGCACCUAAUAAUUAGCUGAUUGGUUGGCAAUAUUGAAAAGUUUAAACUGUACAGGAUAGGCGUCCCCAGGAAUGGAUUUGAGAACCACUUUGAUAAGCAGAACCCUUAACUGUUCAAUGUAGAAAUCUUUGGAGUAGAAUCACUUCUGAAGCUAAAAACUAUGCAAAGAACCCUUGAAAAAUCCUUGAAGUGUAUAAAUAGCUAAUCUUUGAACUUGUUCUUGGUAAAGAGAGCUGAUGAGAGAAAUUGAAAUACCUCAUUCAACUGACAUUUCUUUUUUAGUCAGUGCAGGAUACUCUUAUUCUCGUGUCUUUUUCCUCUCGGAUCAACCACAAGAGACAUGCGAUGACAUUCAAGUGUCUUUGGUAGGUUAUUUGCUAAAUUAUUGUGAUGAUAAUAUGAGAGAUUAUGAACUGAAGAAACACUUGUGUUGUAAAUAAGCCUAAAUAGUUUUGGCAUAGCCUAAAUAGGCAUAUUUAUUAGUUGCGUGUAUCUCGUCACAUUUUGCUGAGAGUAGGGCAAAGAGCAUUUUGGGCUAAAAUAAAUGCAAGCUUUGAAGUAUUCCUACAGUAAUGAGCAAAUUAGUUUAUGUCAGUUCUUGAAAUGUAACUGAAGUCAGUAAACAUACACCUCUUAACUAUUAGCUGAGGUGUCUAUGGAGGGAAGAAGAAAGAAAUCGUAGCAAAUAUGACUUCUUUUUCCACUUUUAUUCUAAUCCCUCAUGAGUUAAAUAUACUGUUGGUAUGAGCUUUAGGAAAACCAUGCUGCUAAAAUCCCCAACAUGGCUCUGGCCCAGCCUGAGCUAGGCUUUUCAUGUGGAUUGAAAGUCAGAAAGAGUUUUGACGAAACGAAACAAUCAUUUAUUAAAGCUGUAAUGAGCUCACCAGUUAGCUAGCAGCAUUUUCUUUUCCACAAUCUUGACAUAUUCCAUUAUCAGCUUAGUGAGCAUCUCUUAUGAAAUUGCAUGCGAUUAAUGCUGAUCAAACAGGAAUAAGGAAAGUUACUCAAAUAUGGCAGAUGCUGAGCACUCAGAUUUUCCUUUUGAAUAAAGCACAUAAAGUGCUGCACAGGGCUCCUACGCUUACUGUUUGAUUCCACUCCUGGCACUAAAUAUGCGGAUUGGCCGCUGCUGGUACAGAGGAAGGAUGUUGUCGGGCCUGAGGAUUGUGGAUAGUGGGGUACCAGUAGGCUAAUGGAACAGUGUGCAGCAUUGUUCUGGUGGCAGGCAGAGCUAUGGCUCUAUUUGUGGUGGGUCCGGAGUACAAAGAGGACACAGUACAAAGCAGCCUCAUACCGACCUCGACAUCACAGCCCACACGUUCUGCCUCAGCUUUAAGGUGGGAAAGGCUCUCGGAAGUGUUCAUUGUGGCUGCUCCCGUUGGCCUUGGUGCCUCUUAUGUCUUUGCAGUGUGUAUAAUAGCCCAUUGUUACAAUCAAACAGCCAAGGAGAGACGUUUUACCAAAGCAGAGUUCCAGUCACGUAUCUGCCGUUGUCCUGAUUGUCUAACAGCUACUUAUUCUUUUGCAUCAAUACUGUAAUUACAAGUCCCAUUAAUCGCCUGCAGCCACCGCAGCAAGGCACCAUGCGAGCUCAUUUAUCUAUUUUGCUGUCAAACUGAUAAUAAAAGGCUUUUCAGAUAAGGAAUGGGAUAAAUGCAUUAAUGGCUGGCAUAAUUCUCUUUUAAGGUGAGCUGAAAUACAACUUCCAUUAUAUGAUUUCCUCUUUCUCUGCAUUUUAAUACAUUCUCCUAGGUCUCAUAUUGGAUGAAACCAAAACAUUUUAGAUUGUCCAAUUCCGGAUAGUGUCCUUCACUUUUCCAAUAUAUUGUCACUUAGAUAUAAAAUCACGUCACCCCUCCUUUCUGGCCGACAAUGUCAAAGCUGUACAGAACACCACAUCCAUAUUCACGCUCUCUAAUUUCCUUGCUAUCUGAUUGAGCCCAGGCCAGAUUUCGCCCGUUUUGUCAGCGUGCAAGUUUCCCCCAUCGACUCUUCUUUCUGUUCACCUCGAUGUCCUUGGGCUGCCUGGUAUCGCAUGGUGCUUGGUCAUGCAGCUUCGGAAGUCGUUUGACCCUCAAGGAGCUAUGAGGGAGCGUGGAAGCUGAAGGUGACCUGUGGCUGGGCCAGGGGCUGCAACACAGGACAUGGGAGCUGCCUCUCACUCCCGCUCGUGUCUUGUGUUGCAGCCAGUGGAACUGCUGCACUGUGCACAUCACAAGGACGUCCUACAUCAGAAGCUGACUUUUUUUGUGUGUUUAGCAUGUACAUAAAUGUGCGCAUUCCUAAAUAAAAA
ensembl:lncRNA